rnacentral:rRNA from 1 species
UACGUAGGAGGCGAGCGUUAUCCGGCUUCACUGGGCGUAAAGAGUGUGUAGGCGGUGCUCCAAGUCUGUCGUGAAAUCUCCCGGCUCAACUGGGAGGGUGCGGCGGAAACUAGAGUGCUCGAGUGUGGGAGAGGUAAGCGGAAUUCCUGGUGGAGCGGUGAAAUGCGUAGAUAUCAGGAGGAACACCUGCGGUGUAGACAGCUUACUGGACCACGACUGACGCUGAGACACGAAAGCGUGGGGAGCAAACAGG